UACGUAGAGUGCAAGCGUUGUCCGGAAUUAUUGGGCGUAAAGGGUGCGCAGGCGGAUAGUAAAGUCAAGCGUGAAAGGUGUCGGCUUAACCGACAGACUGCGUUUGAAACUGAUUAUCUUGAGUGUAACAGAGGAGAGUGGAAUUCCUAGUGUAGUGGUGAAAUACGUAGAUAUUAGGAAGAACACCAGUGGCGAAGGCGACUCUCUGGGUUAACACUGACGCUGAGGUACGAAAGCUGGGGGAGCAAACGGG
rnacentral:rRNA from 1 species